rfam:Sorex araneus cont1.404789, whole genome shotgun sequence.
GAAAGUUCACAAUGGUUUGAUAACCACAUUUAAGAUGAUGAUCUGAGCUUCUUCCAAUUUUCUAGCAACGUCACCGGGCCAGACAGGGAGCAAUAUACCCCUGGUAUCUGCUUUUAUCACAUUUGACAGUACC